rnacentral:rRNA from 1 species
GCAGUCGUGCGAGAAGUAUCUUCGGAUAUGAGUAGAGCGGCGGACGGGUGAGUAACGCGUAGGUAUCUACCUAGUAGAAGGGGAUAGCCCGGGGAAACUCGGAUUAAUACCGUAUACCUCCUUCGGGAGAAAGAAGGCCUCUCAUUGAAGCUUUCGCUACUAGAUGAGCCUGCGUAAGAUUAGCUUGUUGGUGAGGUAAAGGCUCACCAAGGCGACGAUCUUUAGCGGGUCUGAGAGGACGAUCCGCCACAUUGGGACUGAGACACGGCCCAGACUCCUACGGGAGGCAGCAGUGGGGAAUAUUGGACAAUGGGCGCAAGCCUGAUCCAGCCAUACCGCGUGUGUGAAGAAGGCCCUAGGGUUGUAAAGCACUUUAAGUUGGGAAGAAAAGUUAUUGGUUAAUACCCAAUAGCCGUGACAUUACCAUCAGAAUAAGGACCGGCUAAUUCCGUGCCAGCAGCCGCGGUAAUACGGAAGGUCCAAGCGUUAAUCGGAAUUACUGGGCGUAAAGCGCGCGUAGGUGGUUUAUUAAGUUGGAUGUGAAAUCCCCGGGCUCAACCUGGGAACUGCAUCCAAAACUGAUUCACUAGAGUACGAUAGAGGGAGGUAGAAUUCACAGUGUAGCGGUGGAAUGCGUAGAUAUUGUGAAGAAUACCAAUGGCGAAGGCAGCCUCCUGGAUCUGUACUGACACUGAGGUGCGAAAGCGUGGGUAGCGAACAGGAUUAGAUACCCUGGUAGUCCACGCCGUAAACGAUGUCAACUAGCUGUUGGGGAACUAUGUUCCUCAGUGGCGCAGCUAACGUAGUAAGUUGACCGCCUGGGGAGUACGGCCGCAAGGCUAAAACUCAAAUGAAUUGACGGGGACCCGCACAAGCGGUGGAGCAUGUGGUUUAAUUCGAUGCAACGCGAAAAACCUUACCUAUACUUGACAUACUUGGAAUGCUUUGUAAUGAAGCAGUGCCUACGGGAGCCAGGAUACAGGUGCUGCAUGGCUGUCGUCAGCUCGU